UAGGGAAUAUUGGUCAAUGGGUGAGAGCCUGAACCAGCCAUGCCGCGUGCAGGAAGAAGGCCUUCUGGGUUGUAAACUGCUUUUGCCGGGGGAUAAAAUUCCCAUGCGUGGGACAUUGAAGGUACCCGGUGAAUAAGCCACGGCUAACUACGUGCCAGCAGCCGCGGUAAUACGUAGGUGGCAGGCGUUGUCCGGAUUUAUUGGGUUUAAAGGGUGCGUAGGCGGCCUAUUAAGUCAGUUCUGAAAUAUCCCGGCUUAACCGGGAGGGUGGGAUUGAUACUGAUGGGCUUGAGUGGACUCGAGGUAGGCGGAAUUGACGGUGUAGCGGUGAAAUGCUUAGAUAUCGUCAAGAACACCGAUAGUGUAGACAGCUUACUAGAUUUCAACUGACGCUGAGGCACGAAAGUGUGGGGAUCAAACAGGAUUAGAUACCCUGGUAGUCCACACUGUAAACGUUGAUUACUCGCUGUGUGCGAUAUACAGUACGCGGCUUAGCGAAAG
rnacentral:rRNA from 1 species